GGUCACCUUUAUGUGCCACAACAUGGCCACCGUUGACUGCUUCUACGCCCUCAGCCUGAACGUGGCCCAGUCAAAGAGGAUGAGGGACCAUUUCCGCUAGGCCCUCACCCACACCGUGCCAUCACCGGAGUCACCAGAAGCUUCCUCCUCCUCCUCCACCACCAGGAAGAGUUCCCGCAAGCCUGAGUCCUCCUCCAGUUCCAAGACAAAACCCCUGCCCCCUACCAGGAGUCAGGGACCUCAGGACUGGAGAAGGAACUUCAGGACAUGGAGGAGGAGAGGGAGUUUAUUGCGGGGAUGCAAAAUACAACAGAGAAGGCCCGAGAAGUCUCGUGAACAUGCCAGUGUGCUUCAACCUGACUUGUGUGGUGGGAAACGUCUUCAGGCACACGGGAAUCACCGGAAAAUAAGGUUUGUUUUCUUUGCUUUUGUAUGAGCUGGAUUAUACAGUACAUCUACCAAACAUAUUAUGAAUAAAACAACAUGGAUAUUCCAUUACUAUGGGUUCUUACCGACAUUUCAGGACCAUUUAUGACGGGUCGGGAUAUUGCCAUCCUUGUGUAACCCAGACUAAAAGGUACACAGCCACAGAUUCACGAGGGAGUGGAGGGGGGGCAUUUUAUAGCAUUUUGAUAAGAUGCAUAGUGAUAUUAAUCAAAUACAGUGAUGCACACAAAAAAAAUUCUAUGGUUUCUAUGGGAGAAAAACAAACAACAUUAUGUACAUUAGCCAUGCCCUACAGGAAUUGGGAUUUUGUACGCUGAUACAUUUUGAAACCACUGCACCACUUCAAUACAUGAUACAUGAUGUAUGUUCUAAUGUCUAAGUUUUACAUAAAUUAAAUAAUUUGCACAUAUA